UACGAAGGGUGCAAGCGUUAAUCGGAAUUACUGGGCGUAAAGGGCUCGUAGGUGGCCAACUAAGUCAGACGUGAAAUCCCUCAGCUUAACUGGGGAACUGCGUCUGAUACUGGAUGGCUUGAGUUUGGGAGAGGGAUGCGGAAUUCCAGGUGUAGCGGUGAAAUGCGUAGAUAUCAGGAGGAACACCAAUGGCGAAGGCAGCUCGCUGGGACGGUACUGACGCUGAGGCGCGAAAGCGUGGGGAGCAAACAGG
rnacentral:rRNA from 1 species